rfam:Candidatus Collierbacteria bacterium RIFCSPHIGHO2_01_FTLL_50_25 rifcsphigho2_01_scaffold_23580, whole genome shotgun sequence.
GCCAGGGUAGCUCAGCAGGUAGAGCGGCGGUAUCGUAAACCGCAGGCAGUGGGUUCGAGUCCCACCCCUGGCU